UACGGAGGAUGCGAGCGUUAUCCGGAUUUAUUGGGUUUAAAGGGUGCGUAGGCGGUAUUUUAAGUUAGUGGUAAAACGUCGGGGCUUCACCUUGAUUGGCCAUUAAAACUGGAGUACUAGAGUACAGACGAGGUAGGCGGAAUAAGUUAAGUAGCGGUGAAAUGCUUAGAUAUAACUUAGAACUCCGAUAGCGAAGGCAGCUUACCAGACUGUUACUGACGCUGAAGCACGAGAGCGUGGGUAGCGAACAGG
rnacentral:rRNA from 1 species